ACAAGGCAAAUUUGAGAAAAAUUAGUCCCCCAAGGAGAGCAAAUGAAGAAGAUUGCGACCAAAACCACAAACAAAAGCCUCCUACUCUCAAGCUUAUCACUUUUUCGAAGGAGAAACCUCAACACCAAGAAGAAAAGAGAAACCACCUCAACAAGAAUCCUCCCAACAAGGUAAUGCAAUAUCAACAUCAAAUAGAUUUCAAAUUUUGGGAUCUUCUAUCCCACCAAGGCAUUCAGCCUUGCAAAUUGGGUCAUCGACCCCUUCUACUCCUUCAAAACCCAUAAUUAUAGGAGAGUCAUCGACCUCCUCACCUUGGCCUACAUCAUCACCAUCAACCUAUAUCCAAGAAGUUACUGGAUCUAGCCCUCAAAAUUCUGAAAUUAUACCAUCAAGAACUCAUAAUUAUCUUUCAAAAUCUCAAACCUCGUUCAUAACCACUCUUGAACCAGAAUAUUGAGAUACUUCUAUUUCCGAAAUUAUCCAAAGGACCUUUCCUUCCAACUUUCAUUUCAUUCCAGACCAAAUUCUCAAAACUCGAUGAUUCUAUGAACAUAUACUCAUAGAAACAGAUUCUAUUGAAUUAACCCAUACCAAGGACAAAACUCAUCCAAAUAGAAUCGCCUUUUCAAAAGUCAAAAUCCUCCGUGUGUUAACCCCCACAAAAUGGAAUCAAAAUAUUUACAUCGAAAAGAAGUUUACCCAUACCUUCUUUCCCAAUACCUAUUCAUACAUUGAUUAUCAAAAUGCUUGGUACAAUAUCUUUUGGUUAAAUAAUUACAAUCAUUCCUAGUUUAUUAUCUUUUACAAAACUUGUGUUCAACACUUCCCAUUAUGGUUCAAUGACUGGUGGAAUAUUUUCGGCCUUAACCAGACUAUUCUACCUUCUCCAAUUUCACAAAGUUUCAAGUACUUCUCAAAUAAUGUUUUUACAAAUUCAUUCAAUACUCUCUUGCGAUUUUCAAAUUAUUUUCUUUUAGUUUGGAUAUUCUGCUGGGAUUAUUCAAUUAUAGAAUCCAAUGGAAUAUCUUGUCUUCACCGCAUCUACAAAAUCAAAUGGUGGGACAAAUUCAAUACGGCGAUCGCCUCAAAACAGGUAGUCGAAAAAUGGUUCUCUAUCUACCCGCACAAUCAAAAAGAAAAUGUCCAGCAAAAUCAAAAAUUCCUUGCUCAAAGAUCAAGACUCAUUACGGCCAUGGCACGAGUUGCAAACGAUUAAGAACUGUCUGAUAUCAUUCAACAAAUGUCUUCUCCAAACAACUAUAAAAAAGAUGACGAUGAUGAAGAUCAAGAUGAUGACAAUGAAUUUGCCAACUUCAUGAACCACAUCUAUUCACAAGCACCAAGAUAAUAAAACAAAGAUUCCAAUCAACCGAUCAAGACAAAAUCCCAAUCAACCUUGGGAGCUUCAUUAACAAAACCCUAUCAAUAUGUAGUUUGUCGUUUUGUAAAGGUGUCAAAGGUAGCCUUAAUAACUUGACACCUAGUUUGUUAUAUGUUUUAGUUUUGUAAAGGUGUCAGAUAUAGUCCUAGUAAGUCGACACCUAGCAUCUUACGUUUUUAGUUUCUGUCCACGUGUUGUAAUUUACUUUUGUUGUUGUCCACGUGUUGUACUUAAACGCUUCCUACAGUACUAUAAAGGAGGCCUGUAGUUGAACAUAGAGGGUAGAGUUUUAGAAAGCGAGUGAUAUUGUAAAAAAGGGAAUAGUGCUCACCGUUUGAAUAAAAUAAUCUUUUCCCAACUUUUGUCUUCUUUCUACAAAAAAAAGUGAGCAAAAUGCGCCAGACGCAUAACAUUCCCAAAUUUUCACCACAUUCUGCUGAAAUAUCGUACUGCAUCCAAAAUACCCCAGACGCAUUCCUUGCCCAGAUUGUCAAAACGCGCGUUUUAGCUUAAUUUGACCAAGCGAUUUGGGAGAAUCAAGCUUCCACUCUAUUCUUCCUAAGAUCAUGCAAGAUGAGGUUAAGAGUGGUUGGUCCAGGAUUUUGUUUAACACCCCAAAGAUCUCUCCAA